rnacentral:rRNA from 1 species
GUAGGGUGCGAGCGUUAUCCGGGGAUCAUUGGGGCGUAAAGAGCUCGUAGGCGGUUCAGCAAGUCGGCUGUGAAAUUCCGAGGGCUCAACCUCGGAACUGCAGUCGAUACUGCUGUGACUCGAGUCCGGUAGAGGAGAAUGGAAUUCAGGGUGUAGCGGUGAAAUGCGCAGAUAUCCUGAGGAACACCAGUAGCGAAGGCGGUUCUCUGGGCCGGUACUGACGCUGAGGAGCGAAAGCGUGGGUAGCAAACAGGAUUAGAUACCCUGGUAGUCCACGCCGUAAACGUUGGACACUAGGUGUGGCGUUCCGACCAACGGGUGCCGUGCCGAAGCUAACGCAUUAAGUGUCCCGCCUGGGGAGUACGGCCGCAAGGCUA